rnacentral:rRNA from 1 species
UACGAAGGGGGCUAGCGUUGCUCGGAAUCACUGGGCGUAAAGGGCGCGUAGGCGGAUGAUCAAGUCGGGGGUGAAAUCCUGAGGCUCAACCUCAGAACUGCCUUCGAUACUGGUCGUCUCGAGUUCGGGAGAGGUGAGUGGAACUCCGAGUGUAGAGGUGAAAUUCGUAGAUAUUCGGAAGAACACCAGUGGCGAAGGCGGCUCACUGGCCCGAUACUGACGCUGAGGCGCGAAAGCGUGGGGAGCAAACAGG